UUCCAUGUCAGUGGGGCAUAAUAUCCUUUCGGUUUAUACCAGUCAGUGAAUAAGGAAUGAUGCUAUUAAUUCUCCUGGGCAAUCUUCAGGUCUGAUUAUUGGUGAAAUAAAUUUGCAUGCUGAAUAUGAGGGUGUUCCACAGGUGAUCUUCCUGCUAUAGAAUGGCACCUUCAUCACCACACAUGGAGAAUAAAAAAGGGUAACAGAAAUGGAUGUGUCAUUGGAAUGAAGCUCCAAACUGAGAGCCUUCAUAGAGCGAUUCUGCUGUCUAAAACUCCAAGAGGAAUAGUCCAAUAGAUGUCACCACUUUACUAUGGAAGUGCCUGCUCACAUCAACCACUGUUAAACUACAGCUGUAUCCUCACAGCAUGGCACGGACAGUGAUACCAGUAGUUAUGAUGAUGGUUGUGGUCUUUGAGUAUUGCUUUCUUCCGGGCCCAAGCAUGCAAUAUUUCCCUAAUCUCCAUCACUGCUGUGUAAGGGAGGUUAUUGAGCUAUUUUCUCGUUUUUGAUGGCACCACAUUGGCAUGGGAGGUAGGAGCCUGGUCUUUCUGCCUGGCAGAAGGAGUAAGGGAGUCAUGGAGCCACAGUGUUGGGAAGAAUAACGUUGUCACCUUGUGAGGGAACAACAGUUGACAUAGCAAGAUAUAUUGCCUGAGGAAAUGUCACUCUAUUAUGCAAAUAUUCUGAGCUAGAAGAUUACUGUGGGCUAUUAACUGUUGAAACCUUUCUGCUUCAAUUACUGGCUUCUGGUCAUGUUUCAAAAUUAAAAUCCUGAAAGAGAACAAACUCUUCAUUUAAGUCUUCAGAAGCUGACUAUGGCGAUGCAAGCUUUUGAUAAUGAUAAAUAAUCAGCAUAGCCUAUUCAUAGGCUAAAAGUAAAAGACACGACUAAUACUCACUCAUCUCAAUCCAUAUGGAUAAGGAGAACCACCAAAAUCCUGGAACAAGCUCAGCAGAGACAAGCACGGAAAUUCCUAGAAGCCUGGCAUGCCACGAAGAAAGCCAUUAAUAAACACAUAGAACUCAACGCCAUAUGCACUUCACUGCUAAGGAAAACCAGAAGUGAGACAAUCCAGCUCCAGAGUUUUAAAAGCAGGCGGGAAAACACACUGACGUUUCAUUGGAGGCUGCAUCCAGCAUGAACAACAAACCAGCUCGGCGAGCCAACCAACCUCAACAGCCACAACGCGAGCUACAAAUCUACUCCAAACCCUUAUAGCCCCUAUUGAUAGAAAGCUUUGAAAAUACUUAGGGAAGGAAACAAAUUCACCAUCCAGUCUGUGGACCACAGUGCUAUGUGUAACAAUGUGGCGACUUUAAGAAGCUAUUUUGUCCCAUUUUUCUUUUGAAGAGAGAUUUUAAGACAAAGGUGCAGUCCGCCAGAAAUGCAAGAGUAAACAGCUUGUGAGGUCUUGGGUAUUUUUAUUUUAAAAACUGGAACAAUAGAAGCAGCCAGAUUGAGUAUGGUCAAACUCCCACAGAAUCAGGGUCUUUAGUCUCGUUUUCACCAGAAUUUGUGAAAAGCUCUCUGUCUGUCUCUCUCUCCCUCUCUCUCUCUCACUCUCAGAAUUGCUUUUUGAUAUUCUUUCCUCCUGGUUGGAGAACUGUCUGUUUUCUGAAUUUGCCUUUUGCCAAGGAGGUGUUUAUGGGAUGUUAAUAUAUUGGAACAGUCAAUUAGUCAUAGUUCCUGUGUCGACUUUUUUAAGCAUUCCAAUAGAGCUACAG